UUUGUAUGAUGAGUAACCAGAUAGGGACAACAGAUUUUUUAAUUGACGAGAAACAUCUUUUAAAGCCCAGUUUUUAGUAGAGCUUAGGGCGCUUUUACUGACU
rnacentral:snoRNA from 24 species